rnacentral:rRNA from 1 species
UACAGAGGUCUCAAGCGUUGUUCGGAUUCAUUGGGCGUAAAGGGUGCGUAGGUGGCGCCGUAAGUCAGGUGUGAAAUCUCGGGGCUCAACCCCGAAACUGCACUUGAUACUGCGGUGCUCGAGUACUGGAGAGGAGAUUGGAAUUUACGGUGUAGCAGUGAAAUGCGUAGAUAUCGUAAGGAAGACCAGUGGCGAAGGCGAAUCUCUGGACAGUUACUGACACUGAGGCACGAGAGCGCGGGGAGCGAACCGG